rnacentral:rRNA from 1 species
GUUGUAUGGUUAAGUGACUAAGCGUAUACGGUGGAUGCCUAGGCAGUUAGAGGCGAUGAAGGACGUGUAAGUCUGCGAUAAGCUGUGGAGAGCCGACAAAAUGCUUUGACCCACAGAUUUCCGAAUGGGGAAACCCGGCGCUUCGGCGUCAUCUAUACAUGAAUACAUAGUGUAUAGAAGCAAACGAGGGGAACUGAAACAUCUAAGUACCCUUAGGAAAAGAAAUCAACAGAGAUUCCCCUAGUAGCGGCGAGCGAACGGGGAGCAGCCGAGUAGUAAUGAAGUAGUGGAAUGUGUUGGAAAGCACAGCGAUACAGGGUGAUAGCCCCGUACACGAAGCGUCAUUAUUGCCAUAUUAAGUAGGUCGGGACACGUGUUAUCUUGACUGAAGAUGGGGGGACCAUCCUCCAAGGCUAAAUACUCCUAACUGACCGAUAGUGAACCAGUACCGUGAGGGAAAGGCGAAAAGAACCCCUGUGAGGGGAGUGAAAUAGAACCUGAAACCGUAUACGUACAAGCAGUAGGAGCAAGCUCUCGUAAGAGAAUAGUCUUGUGACUGCGUACCUUUUGUAUAAUGGGUCAGCGACUUAUAUUUAGUAGCAAGGUUAACCGAAUAGGGGAGCCGUAGCGAAAGCGAGUGUUAACUGCGCGUUGAGUUGCUAGGUAUAGACCCGAAACCGAGUGAUCUAGCCAUGGGCAGGUUGAAGGUUGAGUAACAUCAACUGGAGGACCGAACCGACUAACGUUGAAAAGUUAGCGGAUGACUUGUGGCUGGGGGUGAAAGGCCAAUCAAACUCGGAGAUAGCUGGUUCUCCCCGAAAGCUAUUUAGGUAGCGCCUCGGAUGAAUACCACAGGGGGUAGAGCACUGUUAAGGCUAGGGGGUCAUCCCGACUUACCAACCCUUUGCAAACUCCGAAUACCUGUGAGUACUAUCCGGGAGACACACGGCGGGUGCUAACGUCCGUCGUGAAGAGGGAAACAACCCAGACCGCCAGCUAAGGUCCCUAAAUAUUACUAAGUGGGAAACGAGGUGGAAAGGCACAGACAGCUAGGAGGUUGGCUUAGAAGCAGCCAUCCUUUAAAGAAAGCGUAAUAGCUCACUAGUCGAGUCGGUCUGCGCGGAAGAUGUAACGGGGCUAAGUAAUAUACCGAAGCUGCGGACUUGCGCAUCACUUAACAUUAUUUAAAUACCGAGCUAACAGCAACGUGCAUAAGCACCUGCUGGUAAAGCGUCUCAACACAGUCGAGGUUUCGAUUGUCGAUGAGGUAAAGGUAAGCGAAACGAGUAAUGUUAAGGAUGCGCAAGUGGUAGGGGAGCGUUGUGUAAGUGGCUGAAGGUGAGCUGAGAGGCGAGCUGGACAUAUCACAAGUGCGAAUGCUGACAUGAGUAACGAUAAUGGGGGUGAAAAACCCCCACGCCGGAAGACCAAGGUUUCCUGUCCCAUGCUAAUCAGGGCAGGGUAAGUCGGCCCCUAAGGCGAGGCAGAAAUGCGUAGUCGAUGGGAAACGGAUUAAUAUUUCCGUACUUGGUAUAUCAGUGAAGGGGGGACGGAGAAGGUUAUGCAAGCCUGGCGUUGGUUGUCCAGGUGAAAGUGCGUAGGGUUGUGACUUAGGUAAAUCCGGGUCGCACUUCUUAAAUGAAGAGCUCGAGACACGAGACGAGACUCCAAGGAGUUGAAGUUGCAAAUACCAUGCUUCCAGGAAAAGCCUCUAAACUUAUGAUAUAUCGAACCGUACCCCAAACCGACACAGGUGGUCAGGUAGAGAAUACUAAGGCGCUUGAGAGAACUUGGGUGAAGGAACUCGGCAAAAUCGUACCGUAACUUCGGGAGAAGGUACGCCUCUGUUUGUGAUUGAACUUGCUUCAUGAGCGAAUGGGGGCCGCAGUGAAAUGGUGGCUGGAACUGUUUAUUAAAAACACAGCACUGUGCUAAAUCGAAAGAUGACGUAUACGGUGUGACGCCUGCCCGGUGCCGGAAGGUUAAUUGAUGGGGUUAUCUUCGGAGAAGCUCUUGAUCGAAGCCCCGGUAAACGGCGGCCGUAACUAUAACGGUCCUAAGGUAGCGAAAUUCCUUGUCGGGUAAGUUCCGACCUGCACGAAUGGCGUAAUCAUGGCCACGCUGUCUCCACCCAAGACUCAGUGAAAUUGAAAUUGCAGUGAAGAUGCUGUGUACCCGCACCUAGACGGAAAGACCCCGUGAACCUUUACUAUAGCUUGGCACUGAACAUUGACCCUACAUGUGUAGGAUAGGUGGGAGACAUUGAAGCAUUGUCGCUAGAUGAUGUGGAGUCUACCUUGAAAUACCACCCUUGUAGGUUUGAUGUUCUAACAUUGUUCCCUUAUCGGGAAUGUGGACAGUGUCUGGUGGGUAGUUUGACUGGGGCGGUCUCCUCCCAAAGUGUAACGGAGGAGCACGAAGGUUGGCUAAUCCUGGUCGGACAUCAGGAGGUUAGUGCAAUGGCAUAAGCCAGCUUAACUGCGAGACAGACACGUCGAGCAGGUACGAAAGUAGGUCAUAGUGAUCCGGUGGUUCUGAAUGGAAGGGCCAUCGCUCAACGGAUAAAAGGUACUCCGGGGAUAACAGGCUGAUACCGCCCAAGAGUUCAUAUCGACGGCGGUGUUUGGCACCUCGAUGUCGGCUCAUCACAUCCUGGGGCUGAAGUCGGUCCCAAGGGUAUGGCUGUUCGCCAUUUAAAGUGGUACGCGAGCUGGGUUUAGAACGUCGUGAGACAGUUCGGUCCCUAUCUGGUGUGGGCGUUGGAUGAUUGAAGGGAGCUGCUCCUAGUACGAGAGGACCGGAGUGGACGAACCGCUGGUGUUCGGGUUGUUUUGCCAAAGGCAUUGCCCGGUAGCUACGUUCGGAAUCGAUAAGCGCUGAAAGCAUCUAAGCGCGAAGCGAGCCCUAAGAUGAGUCAUCCCUGUACAUUUAAUGUACCUAAAGGGUUGUUGAAGACUACGACGUUGAUAGGCAGGGUGUGGAAGCGUAGCAAUGCGUUGAGCUAACCUGUACUAAUUGCCCGUGAGGCUUAACCAUACAACGCCCAAG